GACUAUCGUAGUUCUCUAAGCCCUUCUACGGUGGAGGCAUUGAUAUGCGCAUCUAGCUGGAUUCGAGGUGCACAUGAUGGAACCCGUAGAUAUGUGGAAGAAGAUGAGGAGGAUGACAUCGAGAAUAUUUCAUUUCCAAAAAGCUUUGUAGAGAGUAACUAGCUGGAGAGUGGAGACAUCAGGACAUGGAGCUGGACUUCGCUGUUGCUUGCUGGAUGGUGCCUGGGCGCCUGGCUGCCUGCUUUUGUGGAAUGCUUGGAGCUGGACUUGGUUGUUGCUUGCUGGAUGGUACC